CCCGGCGUGGACUGGGGACCCCCUUGGUGGCCCCUUCCGGGAGAUCCGUGGCACCUGCGCCCGCAGCUCUGAGGUCCUCGAUUCAAGAGUGUUUCCAGCCCCACCACCAGGGAGCCCCCGCCGCCGUGGCGUCCCGAAGCGGGAGUCUCCAGGCAGGGAUGCGCCCAGGGGCCCGGGCUUGGGCGGUGGAGAGAGGACCCCGACAAGGAACACAUUGCCCCCACCCCCAUCCUGUCCUCGAGGGCGCUGGCCAGAGACCCGCACCCUUACGCAAGGCGGUCUCAGCCGGCCCUGAUAGUCAGGCAUUUGGACGUCCCCCAACACCCAGGGCAGGAUUCCAGUGUCCCUCUACCCGCUCUCCUCUGAGUCCCCUGCUAUCCUGAGCACCCAGUCCGGGGCCUUCCGGGAGGGGUGCGUGGGCCUCAGUCCCCAGCCUUCUGAGGAGGCAUCUGCUCAAGCGCGUCCCUAAGCCCCAGCGAGACCCGAGCCCAGGGGCGAAAGGUCGCGCAGAGGGCGCCCCUAGGCCUGACACUCCCAUUCCCAGAUCUUCCUCUACUCCCCACCAGGCCCGGUGUCUUAUUUCUUUGUCUUCGGAAUUGCCCUCAUCCCGACCUUUUCGCACGGCCCCAUACUCCCUGCAGCCCUGCGCUGCAGCCCAGUGCGGGGUAGGGGGGAGAGGGGGGAGGAAGGAGCUCCUCCCCAGCGCCCCCUUCUAGGCUAGUUGCCGUGACCUCCCAAGCGAGGAGAGGUGGAGGGGGCUGGAAUUCCGGAGCAAGCUGAGCUGGCCGAAGCCUCAGGGCAAGGAAGGCCUAGGGCCCAGAUGGCAGAUUGCAGCCCUGGUGGCCAAGGUCCAUUUUCUUGCUUCCUAUGCCAAAGUGGAGGGGCCAAUGGGAGUGAGAGCAGGAGAGAGAGAUCACAGGCAGAGCAAGUCACAGAAGCAGCCAGAAGGAUUGGCCUUGAAUAUAAGUUCCUCUCCCAGAUGCAGAAUCCAUCUCUGCCACAAGUGCCUCCUAACACCCAAGCCAUGGAGGCUGGACACAGGAACCUCCUUGAUGCCCAGCAGGAACACAACUGCCUUCCCAUAGCGUCUCAAAUCUCCCUGAGGGCACCAAAUUUGUCUCCCAAAGCCCAGCUGUAUGGAAGUCGGAGGCCUGUCUUCCUGCUGACGCCUUCCACUGGAAGCUCUCCACAAAGUUCUCUGUGCACCUUUGUUCCACAGCUAACAAAUUCAACUGCCACUCUGUCAAGUGAAGUCUCACCCACUGUCUUAACAGACCCCCCAGGACCAGGGCUCCUACCCUCUGGGUCAGGAGGUGGAAUCAGCAUCUUCUAUGUGUCAGUCAGCCAUUUUGUGUUCAUCACCAACUCAUUUGCCAAUGGCCAAUGGCUCACUGACUUCUCUUCCUGGACAACAUCCCAACCUUUCAAUUUCUUGACGUUUUUAUCUCUCAAGACCUUGUUGAUCUCACCUCAACAUCCUCCUUCAUGCUAAAUCCCAAAUGCUAAUCCUCUGGGCACAGCCUUCACUCUGUUCCUUCCAGUUCUCCAACUUCCUCCCUGUUAUCACUCCUGUGUUUGGACUAGGUACCAAAUAUAUGAGUUCCCACUUGGUUUUUCUCCUCUACAUCCUACCUUGGCCCCACCAUGUAUCUCUUCAAUUUGCUUCAGUCUAUCUAUUUAAAGGAGGGCUCUGGUAGGAAAGAAGAAGGCAGUAAUCUCAGCUAAUCUGCCUGAGCUCCAGGGAACCUAGAAUUAGAGGAUUUUAAGCAGGUCAAGGGCCUAAGUUGUCUAAUCCACAAUGCAACCUCCACCUCUGAGCUACUGUUAUGGGGACUCCUGUUACCACCAACCAGUUCCUAUUCUGUCUCUUCUGAGGCCAUCUUUUCCUCAUCUCUUUGCUUCUUCUUAAUCCUAGCUUUGCUUCUCCUGGCUUCUACUGCUUUAUGACAAGCACACAUGGCUUUUCUCCAUGUGCCCAUUAGCUUUUAAUCUCACUGCAGUUCGAGUUCCAAGAGAAGAAAGUUGAUUGGCUCAAAUACUUGGUAUCCUUGUUUUGGCAAACCCUUUAUGCCAAGUAACUGCAUUGGCAACUGGCCAGUCUAUAGAGGUGGCAGUUCUUGGCCAGGCACUGGCUCCUGAUCCAAACAGGUAAAUCCAAGGUCAGUCCAGGCCAAUGGGAUACACACUAUAUAUUCUAUGUAUACUGCUAUGGACUGAACGUUGUGCCCCCCACCUAAUUCACAUCUUGAGGCUCUAACCUCAAGUGUGGUAGUAUUUGAAGAUGGAGCCUCAAAAGAACUAAGAAAUGAGCUCAUAAGUGAAAGGCUCGGAUUCCCAUAGGGUUGAAAGUGUUCAAUCCCCUGACCCACCAUAGGAGGACACAAUGAGCAGGUGGCCAUCUGCAAAUCAAGAAGAGACCCCUCACCAGGAACUGACCCUGCUGCCCUGCUGCACCUUGAUCUUUCUUUUUGUUUUCUUUUUUGUUGUGCUGGGGAUUGAACCCAGGGCUUUGUGAUUCGAAGCAAGCACUUUACCAAUUGAGCUAUAUCCCCAGCCCCUGAUCUGGGAUUUCUGACCUCCAGAACAAUGAGAAAAUAAUGUCCAUUGUUUGAGCCACCUACUCUGUCUAAGUCAUGGACAGCUGCUGCAGGGAACUAUCUAUGUAUUGGCUAGCCUGUCUGGGCAUGUCAACAUCAUCCAUUCUUGGGCUAGGGAUGUGGCUCAAGAGGUAGCGCACUUGCCUGGCAUGCAUGCGGCCUGGGUUUGAUCCUCAGCACCACAUACAGACAAAAGAUGUUGUGUCCGCCGAGAACUAAAAAAAUAAAUUAAAAUU
rnacentral:lncRNA from 1 species